rnacentral:rRNA from 1 species
CGGCAUGACGGCUAAACAAAUGAAUAAGAUAUUAUUGAAUACCAAACAAACUUCUAAUUCAAGUCAAAAUACUUAAAUAAAUGAGAGGGACGAUAAGACCCUAAAAUUUUAAUCUUGCCCUAUAAUUAUCAAUAAAGAUUAAAAUUUCUAUAGCCCUUGAUUCGACUGGGGUAGUCUUUUUCCUUAAAUUAAUAAAAAUCUAUACGAACCCGCGGGUAAACGGUCCUUUACAUAAGGAAAACUGGUGUUAGUUACUUUAGGGAUAACAGCGUAAUAUUUGCGAAGAGCCCGUAUCAAUGCAAGUGAUUGCGACCUCGAUGUUGAAUUAAAAAAUCUUCGUGGAGCAAAAACCACAAAAGAGGGUUUGUUCAACCCUUAAACUUUUACAUGAUUU